AGGCGGGGAUCUUCGGACCUGUCGGCAGGAGAGCGGCCCAUAUGCUAUCAGCUAGUUGGUGAGGUAACGGCUCACCAAGGCGACGACGGCUAGCGGAGCUGAGAGGUUGGCCCGCCGCACUGGGACUGAGACACUGCCCAGACUCCUACGGGAGGCUGCAGUAACGAAUCUUCCGCAAUGGGCGAAAGCCUGACGGAGCAAUGCCGCGUGUGGGAAUAAGCUCUUCGGAGUGUAAACCACUGCCAGGGGUUACCAAGCAAUGGGAGCUAAUAUCUCCCGGCGUUGAGGAGCCCCAGAGGAAGCCACGGCUAACUUCGUGCCAGCAGCCGCGGUAAUACGAAGGUGGCGAGCGUUAUUCGGAAUCACUGGGCUUAAAGAGCACGUAGGCGGAAUACCAAGCGUCUUGUGAAAUCCCUCGGCUCAACCGAGGAAUUGCAGGGCGAACUGGUAUUCUUGAGGCAGGUAAGGGUGAGUGGAACUCUUGGUGGAGCGGUGGAAUGCGUAGAUAUCAAGAGGAACGCCGGAGGUGAAGACGACUCACUGGGCCUGUCCUGACGCUGAGGUGCGAAAGCCAGGGGAGCGAACGGGAUUAGAUACCCCGGUAGUCCUGGCCAUAAACGAUGUCCACUAGGUCGAUGACAUUCUGACAUGGUGUCGGCCGAAAGAAAACCGUUAAGUGGACCGCCUGGGGAGUACGGUCGCAAGGCUAAAACUCAAAGGAAUUGACGGGGGCUCACACAAGCGGUGGAGCAUGUUGCUUAAUUCGAUGCAACGCGAAGAACCUUAUCCUGGGCUUGACAUGCUUGGAUGCCCCCCUGGAAACAGGGAUCGGCUGCCCUUCGGGGUGAAACUUGCACAGGUGCUGCAUGGCUGUCGUCAGCUCGUGUCGUGAGAUGUUGGGUUAAGUCCCGUAACGAGCGAAACCCUUGUCGUUAGUUGCCAGCGGGUCAUGCCGGGGACUCUAACGAGACUGCCGGUGUCAAACCGGAGGAAGGUGGGGAUGACGUCAAGUCCUCAUGGCCUUUAUGCCCAGGGCCGCAAACGUGCUACAAUGGCUGGUACAAACCGACGCGAGACCGCGAGGUGGAGCAAAUCGGAAAAAGCC
rnacentral:rRNA from 1 species